rnacentral:rRNA from 1 species
UGGGGAAUAUUGGACACUGGGGGGAACCCUGAUCCAGCCAUGCCGCGUGUGUGAAGAAGGCCUUAUGGUUGUAAAGCACUUUAAGCGAGGAGGAGGGUACUGGUAUUAAUACUACCAGGUACUGGACGUUACUCGCAGAAUAAGCACCGGCUAACUCUGUGCCAGCAGCCGCGGUAAUACAGAGGGUGCGAGCGUUAAUCGGAUUUACUGGGCGUAAAGCGUGCGUAGGCGGCUAAUUGAGUCGGAUGUGAAAUCCCCGAGCUUAACUUGGGAAUUGCAUUCGAUACUGGUUAGCUAGAGUGUGGGAGAGGAUGGUAGAAUUCCAGGUGUAGCGGUGAAAUGCGUAGAGAUCUGGAGGAAUACCGAUGGCGAAGGCAGCCAUCUGGCCUAACACUGACGCUGAGGUACGAAAGCAUGGGGAGCAAACAGG